UUGGGGGGAGAGUGGAGAGGUAAUGCUUCCUGACUUGACGUAAACGGUUCUCGGCGGAUAUUGGACACACUCGAACGGUCGCCUGAGCCCACGUCAAAACCACUGCCUGUGCGCAGCUGUUGAGUGCUGUGCACCAGGCAGCCUCUUCCGCAAUCAAUCAAGUGUCCGGCGACCGUUAAAUGAUAAAGUGCAGUUUUUUGUCUUCGGGUGAGGGCAGAGCCGCCGCGUUACCCGAUCCAGCUGUAGGCGCGACACUCUAGGUCCGGGGUUUCUCGGUAAACAACCCGAUAUCCACACUCCGCCGGGAUCCGCCGGCACUUCUCGGGCCAGGAGGUGGGUUUCUUUGGCCUGGAAGAGGAAACGGAGCAUGUUCUGUAGCAACAUUGGAAUACCUCCUGUGAAGAGUCAUCUCUGGGACCUGGACUGUGUGUAAGGGCUACACGCAGGGUCCUCUCAGGAGGAGAGAUAUAAGCACCAUGCAGAGGAGUUUACCAUCUGAAGAGGCGGACCCAAAGUUCCCGGGCGCGAUCUCCCCGUCGAUGCCAAAGAGGCCGUAAUCUUGGCGGGCUACAGAUUGGGUUGCAUGGCAACCACGUGAAAGUUUUGCUUUCUCCACGUGGCGUCGCGCGGCAGGCUGUUUGUCUGAUACGGAGGGCGCGGCUGAAAAAAGGAACAAGCACACAGACGGUUUCCCCCCCUCUUCACCACACGCACCGCUACAGAAGCCACAGACAGUCGCGGCAGAAACCGGAUCACAAACUCAUGCUGGGGAAACAUGCAGAUGGGCCGCUGCUGUAGGUGUGAUGGGGAAUCCGUCCUGAGGACAGAGGAAGCUCUUAUCCCCUCCGUAAGCCCCUCUCUGUUUCUCAAAGAUCGUUGUCUCUCCUUCAAUGUGGGGAAAAAAGCCUUUGGUCUAGUUUUGGCCCAAAUUCAUUAAUUGGAUUAAGCCUAAAUUGUUUAGUCAGCACAUAUAGAUUGGAGAGGUUGUAGUUAAGGCUUAAAUCUAUAGAUACAGACUGGUCCUCCCUGUUGAAAUGUACAGCUGCUUCUGUGUUUGUUUCGCUGUUUGUACUUUGUACUCUUUUGCCCCCUCGUUCUCGGCCAAUAUCAGACUCAUCGGCUGUUUCUUGCUGAUGCUUGUGCUUGAAAGUGGCUCAGAUUCAAUCACAAUUUUUCUUUAACCUUUCUUUAACAAUUAAAGACGAUUGUUGAUUUGUUCACUCUGUCUCUCUUGGUGUGGUCAUGGAUCACCAAAUCGACUUGCCAAACUGUGUUUGUGGGGAAAAUAAA